UUGGCGGGGAACGAGCGCCGUUGCCUUCAGAGAACGUCCCGUUUAACGUUGCCGCGCCACCGCGGUGACAUGAGUGCGCUCCGAAUUUGAGAACAACCGUGAACAGGUGUUGCCUCUACCUCUCCACAGUUAGUGGUAGGAUACGUAACAUUCUGCGCCGAUCCUCAAUCAACGGAUGCCGUUGCCUUAAGAGAACGUCGCCGUGCAACGUUACCGUUGCUGCGGUGACACCAGCGCGCUGUGGACACUCAGGACGCCUACACAGAGCAAUCCCACCGUGCUUACGCGUGGUGGGAGGCUCGGGAGGCUUGACCGAUGUUGGCUACGCGAGCGCAUGAGUAGCUUUGGACCCGUGUCUGCCGGUAGAUCCCCCGUCUUCGUGCGGCCGACUACAGGCGCCGUGUCCCGUCGUUCGUUUGGCUUAUAUGAUGAUGUCGCCUUUCAAGUGCUUGCGUGCUGGUACCCGACCUACGGGAAGUGGUGCUUCUAACACGUUUGCCUCGCGGUGGACACCUUCGGGUGUGCCGCUGCGGCCUAACGGCGCUUGCGGCGUUUCCUCGUGGUUCCGGCACUCCUAGUGCCCGGUGCUACCAAGGCAGCCUCGCUCCCGCUGUUGGUCUCGGAUGUUGCUCACGAUAAAGAGUCUUGGCAACCUUUUGGUUGCUAGGACCUGACCCUUAAGCUGCUCUCCGAAUUUGAGAACAACCGUGAACAGGUGUUGCCUCUACCUCUCCACAGUUAGUGGUAGGAUACGUAACAUUCUGCGCCGAUCCUCAAUCAACGGAUGCCGUUGCCUUAAGAGAACGUCGCCGUGCAACGUUACCGUUGCUGCGGUGACACCCGCGCGCUGUGGACACUCAAGACGCCUACACAGAGCAAUCCCACCGUGCUUACGCGUGGUGGGAGGCUCGGGAGGCUUGACCGAUGUUGGCUACGCGAGCGCAUGUCCCGAACAGAGAAAGCGCACGUUCCCCGUCUAUUGGCGGGGAACAAGCGCCGUUGCCUUCAGAGAACGUCCCGUUUAACGUUGCCGCGCCACCGCGGUGACAUGAGUGCGCUCCAAAUUUGAGAACAACCGUGAACAGGUGUUGCCUCUACCUCUCCACAGUUAGUGG